AUUUGACGGCGCGGUGGACGUAGUCGAUGUCCGACCUCGAUCUCUCUUCCGACGACGAUGAGGCAGCCGGCCUCGCGGACGGGUACCGGUUCUUUUCUAUCCACACCUGGUUUUUUCUAUCGUCGAAAACAAUAGCGAACGAUGAGCAUAGAACUCGAUAGACGAAAGAGACCGACGGCUUCGUACGGGGAACGAGAAAGGAGGAUGGGAAUGUUUGAAAAAAGUUGGAGAUCGGCGUCGAGAAGAGAUAGCGGCGAGCGCCGCUCGAUCGUCCUAGUACUUCGGACUAACCUUCCUGGCUGAGGCCAUUACGUGCAACCGUGAACUUUAGGAAAAGCGACAGAGAUUAUCGGUGGUGCGGUGAUAAGCGCCGCCGCUCUUCUCUGCGUUACGCUUCGCUUUGGUCGUCUACACGCUUCGGGACUGUCGGCGACAAUUGUACGCGACACACGGAGCCAGCGUGAAGAGAUGAAAAACCAAUUCCGAGCCACCUACUACAUAUCGAUGCCGGUCGAAAGUCCAACAAGAUGAAUUCCAGUCUAUCGUGGAGAACGAAAGAAUAACAAGACCGAUUGGAAGCCGAGUAAAUACGUAUAAAAGGUGUUUUUCCCGCUAUCCGAUUAAAUUCGCUGCUCUCGUUCAGAGUCAUGACUGCCACCCGUAAUUCGCAGAGGAGAGAGAGAAGAAUUUCUCCUGGAAUUAUGAUUAAACCUUCUAUUUAGAACUGUUAGGAGUUUAAAUACCUGUCCGGCGACUCUAAUAAGUAGACUGCUGAUUUGUAUGCAAAACAUUUGUGACGCCAGUUUAAAAAAUGAAAUCUGGAUGUUCAAGGAUAAUGAUGUAUUUUAUACUUUUGAUAAUCUGUACAAUUUUGCAGUCUUUAUGUUUUCUAAUUUUUUUAAAAAUGCAUAAAAUCUGCAGUCUACUAAUAUGGAAGUAGAAUUAAUUCCACAGGUGAUUCGAUAACGAGAUACUUCAGUGUCAAAUGUUGACUGAGAUUUAAAGAGUAAGAUUAAACUCUAUAAGACUAGAAUUCCUCGUUCGAGUCUUUAAAUUUUCACCAGUGAAACAUGUGAUUGUAUUUUUUAAAUAUUAUUUUUCUCCGUUGAGUAAAUCGAUCCCAACGAAUAUAAUACAAUAGUGGUUAUAUAAAAAUAAUUAGUUUCUUUAAAUAAUAAUAGUAUAUGAAAUUAUAAGCAUUAUACCGAAGGGAAAUAAUCUCAUGGCUGAUAAUUGCAGCCGAAAUCAGUGGAAAAAACCCAGACUGAGUCGAAGUUGGAGAUUGUAGAGAAAGAAGUCUUCGCAUAAUUAAAUAUCCAGCUACUGAAUGUAUGUAUGGCAUGCAGAGAAAGGAUGAAUCUCAAGCUAUCUAAUCCUAUCACCGAAAAUAUUAUUAUUCAACAAGAAGAAGAAUAACUAAGCUCUAGACAAA